rnacentral:rRNA from 2 species
GACGAACCGUGCGAACGUUAUUCGGAAUCACUGGGCUUAAAGCGCGUGUAGGCGGGCCGCCACGUCGGAUGCUGAAAUCCCCCGGCUCAACCGGGGAACGGGCACCGAUACGAGCGGCCUGGAGGGGAGUAGGGGGACCUGGAACUUCCGGUGGAGCGGUGAAAUGCGUUGAGAUCGGAAGGAACGCCCGUGGCGAAAGCGAGGUCCUGGGCUCUUACUGACGCUGAGACGCGAAAGCCAGGGGAGCAAACGGG